GCCUCUCUCCUUUCCCACUCUCACCCCGACUCCCUCUCGCUUCCUCCCGCACCUCGCGCCGCCACCCUGCCUCCUGUCCUCCCGUGGCCGUCGACCACCCUCCCCGCCCCGCGUCUUCGCUCAGUCGCCGACUCGCUCCCCACCAGCCAUACUCCCUGACCGCCGCCGCCGCCGCCACCACCAUCCUCCCCGUUUGCCGUCGCCACGCCAUCGCCGCCACCUACCAGACGAUGCUGUGAAGGACGACACCAGAGAGGGAUGGCGUCGCCGGUGUGGUGGAGGGUGAAGGAGGUGCACGUGGCAAGGUUGUCGUGCCGUCCCGCGGAUCCGUGCUGGCCGACGACGAGGUGGCCACCCGGGUGCAGCACGCUCCAUACUACGCCGUCAACUGCCACCACCGGGCUCCCCCGAAGAUUGGUUGGAUAGAGAUGGCUCGAAGGUUUUGUGGGUAGAAUGUGAGAUAUCCCAAUUAAAGUUCCAUGAAGAAAGAUCCCAAAUGAUGGCAUGUUGUGAUGCUACUCUAUGGCUUGUGGGCUAAAUUAAUGGAAGGAUAAUGAAUUAGCAGUUAAGGUGAUUAACCCCGGUAGGCAGGGGACGCGAGGAGGCAGGAAGCACAGUUGCAGUGCGGAGCAAGGC